rnacentral:rRNA from 1 species
AGAGUUUGAUCAUGGCUCAGAUUGAACGCUGGCGGCAUGCUUUACACAUGCAAGUCGAGCGGCAGCGCGGGGGCAACCCUGGCGGCGAGCGGCGAACGGGUGAGUAAUGCAUCGGAACGUGUCCCGUAGUGGGGGAUAACCCGGCGAAAGCCGGACUAAUACCGCAUAUGCUCUACGGAGGAAAGCGGGGGAUUCGCAAGAACCUCGCGCUAUGGGAGCGGCCGAUGUCCGAUUAGCUUGUUGGUGAGGUAAAGGCUUACCAAGGCGACGAUCGGUAGCUGGUCUGAGAGGAUGAUCAGCCACACUGGGACUGAGACACGGCCCAGACUCCUACGGGAGGCAGCAGUGGGGAAUUUUGGACAAUGGGGGCAACCCUGAUCCAGCCAUGCCGCGUGCGGGAAGAAGGCCUUCGGGUUGUAAACCGCUUUUGUCCGGAAAGAAAAGGCGCCUCCUAAUACGGGGCGUUCUUGACGGUACCGGAAGAAUAAGCACCGGCUAACUACGUGCCAGCAGCCGCGGUAAUACGUAGGGUGCGAGCGUUAAUCGGAAUUACUGGGCGUAAAGCGUGCGCAGGCGGUUCGCAAAGUCUGAUGUGAAAGCCCCGGGCUCAACCUGGGAACUGCAUUGGAAACUAACGGGCUCGAGUGUGGCAGAGGGGGGUGGAAUUCCACGUGUAGCAGUGAAAUGCGUAGAGAUGUGGAGGAACACCGAUGGCGAAGGCAGCCCCCUGGGCUAACACUGACGCUCAGGCACGAAAGCGUGGGGAGCAAACAGGAUUAGAUACCCUAGUAGUCC